rnacentral:rRNA from 1 species
CCUACGGGAGGCAGCAGUGGGGAAUAUUGCGCAAUGGACGCAAGCCUGAAGCAGCGACGCCGCGUGAGGGAUGACGGUCUUAGGAUCGUUAAACUCUGUCAGCAGGGAGGAACGGUCACUGUGCUAAUCAGCAGUGAAUUGACGGUACCUGCAAAGGAAGCACCGGCUAACUCCGUGCCAGCAGCCGCGGUAAUACGGAGGGUGCGAGCGUUAAUCGGAAUUACUGGGUGUAAAGGGCUCGUAGGCGGUAGGUCAAGUCAAGGGUGAAAUCCCCGGGCUCAACGUGGGAACUGCCUUUGAAACUGGCGAACUGGAGAGUGGUAGAGGAUAGUGGAAUGCCAGGUGUAGGGGUGAAAUCCGUAGAGAUCUGAAGGAACAUCAGUGGCGAAGGCGACUAUCUGGCACAUAACUGACGCUGAGGAGCGAAAGCGUGGGGAGCAAACAGGAUUAGAUACCCGUGUAGUC